UCAGGCCUAACACAUGCAAGUCGAACGGCAGCACGGGUGCUUGCACCUGGUGGCGAGUGGCGAACGGGUGAGUAAUACAUCGGAACGUACCUUAUCGUGGGGGAUAACGCAGCGAAAGUUGCGCUAAUACCGCAUACGCCCUGAGGGGGAAAGCGGGGGACCGUAAGGCCUCGCGCGAUUAGAGCGGCCGAUGUCUGAUUAGCUUGUUGGUGAGGUAAAAGCUCACCAAGGCGAUGAUCAGUAGCUGGUCUGAGAGGACGAUCAGCCACACUGGGACUGAGACACGGCCCAGACUCCUACGGGAGGCAGCAGUGGGGAAUUUUGGACAAUGGGGGCAACCCUGAUCCAGCGAUGCCGCGUGAGUGAAGAAGGCCUUCGGGUUGUAAAGCUCUUUUGUCAGGGAAGAAACAGCAGCUCUACACAGUUGCGA
rnacentral:rRNA from 1 species